rnacentral:rRNA from 1 species
GUCGUAGCGAGAACGGAUAUUAGCUUGCUAAUAUUGUCAGCUAAGUGGCGCACGGGUGAGUAAUAUAUAGUUAAUCUGCCCCAAAGAAGAGAAUAAUUGUUGGAAACGACUUGUAACGCUCUAUAUGCCUUUAUUACAUAAGUAAGCAAGGGAAACAUUUAUGGCUUUGGGAUGAGACUGUACGGUAUCAGCUAGUUGGUGAGGUAAUGGCUCACCAAGGCUAUGACAUCUAACUGGUUUGAGAGGAUGAUCAGUCACACUGGAACUGAGACACGGUCCAGACUCCUACGGGAGGCAGCAGUGGGGAAUAUUGCACAAUGGAGGAAACUCUGAUGCAGCAACGCCGCGUGGAGGAUGACACAUUUCGGUGCGUAAACUCCUUUUAUAUGAGAAGAUAAUGACGGUAUCAUAUGAAUAAGCACCGGCUAACUCCGUGCCAGCAGCCGCGGUAAUACGGGGGGUGCAAGCGUUACUCGGAAUCACUGGGCGUAAAGAGCAUGUAGGCUGGUUUGUAAGUUGGAAGUGAAAUCCUAUGGCUUAACCAUAGAACUGCUUCCAAAACUGCAGACCUAGAAUAUGGGAGAGGUAGAUGGAAUUUCUGGUGUAGGGGUAAAAUCCGUAGAGAUCAGAAGGAAUACCGAUUGCGAAGGCGAUCUACUGGAACAUUAUUGACGCUGA